GUUUUGACCUUUUUGUACCAUUUCUGAUGCAGCUGUUGGCAUAUAUUUUGUUGAGACAAGCAUUUUAUAUUGUGGAGAUUGGUUUUAUUUUAUUUUUGUCAAUAAUUAUGCACUAUUACAGUUAGUGGAGAUAUGCUCUGUUAUUUAUCAUAGUCUUAAUCUUUGCAUUUCAGAUGACCUUUUGCAUCUGUAUCCCUCUACUUUUAGAUCAUUUUCGAGUUACAUAAAUCUUGCUGUAUUGUGUUUUCUAAAAUUUUACUCCUCAUGUUCACUUAUAGAAGCUGUUAAAGUUUGUACAAGUCAUAGUUAUGCAUUGGACUUUAUGAUCUGGAGUUGAUUAGAAAUAAUGUUAAGUCACUGAAAAAGCCUCUCCUUUGAGCAGUCCUGCAGGCCGCAACCCUCCUUAUGUUUCUGAUCCAAUUUAGCAGUCCUGCAUUUGAAGCUGAGUGAUUUUUCUAAGCCAAGCCAUAGUUCAUCGAAAAAUCCUUCACCAGUUACCCCCAUCCUCCUUCUCCCAGUGAACCUGCUGGAUCUGGUUCUAUUCUUCUAUGCCGCGCCCAACAAUAUUUGAUGGAUCAGAACCAACAGCUACUCCGAAUUCAGGAGUUCCUCUGUCUCUUGACCUGAUGCUGUUCUUCACAGCAAGUAGUCUACUUCCCAUUGUAAUAAAUCUUUUGUAGAUUUGUUCCCUUGCUAGAUUCUUGUUUUUACCUAUUUUCACACAUAUGUAAACCAUGGAAAAGUGGAUAACAAGGUCAUCUUCACCUUUGACGGUUUACUUUACUACAUGCAUAAUAAAAAUAAAUAAUUCAGUACUAAACAUGAUUGUCUUUUUAAAUCUUCUGAAGUUAUCAUGAUUGAUUUGCCUAAUUCUGUGCAACCCUCUGAUUUAAAUCUUGUCAGAAGUGAGAUCUGUUCUUACAUUCCUGCUCGGUAGCUGUCUUUUGCUCUGUGCUCGGUAUUAAGAUGGCUAGUUACUUGUGUUUUUGAAUUAGUAUGACUGUUUGAAGUGGAUCAUCCAACUGAUUGUCCAGAAUUAGGUGAGAAGCAUGAGCCCUGUGGGAUGUGAGUUUUUAUGCGACAAUGUGAUAACUUUGUUAAGGCUGUUAAUUAGUGCAGGAUUGUUCUUUUCUUCUGCAAAGAAACAUUUACAUUCGUUUUUGUGUUUAGUGUUACUAUGGAUUAAAAUUUAUUAAUGUUGUAGGAAACUAAGGAUUGUCUGUCUUUUUCGUUUUAUUUACUUGUAUUUUCGCAAAAGUAUUGCAUGAAUCUACUCAUUAAUAAUUAUUUUUAGCAUAAAUAUCUUAGCUAUAAUUCUUGGAAACAAUUAUUGAGCUCACUUUCACUUCUGAAACGAGGUUGUGCAGUGGUGUUCAUAAUUUAUGCAACGUUUUGCUUAACAUUCUUUGGUACUCGAUCAUCUAUACUUUUGUUUUGCAGGUGCUGAAGACAAGGAAAACAAUCUACAGCUCCACCAACUGAUCAGCCAACUGUACCAGCUCAGAAAAGGGGAUAUGAAGCAUGGAACCCUGAGAUGGAUAACAUCUUAACUUCAACAUUGUAUGAUCAAAUUAAUGAAGGAAAUAAAGGCGAUGGAAAUUUUAAAACUCAAGCUUACCAGGCUGUGGUUGAUAAGCUGCGGGUUGAAAGGAGUAUAUUGGCUACUGUGGAUCAUGUGAAACACCGAAUUAAGAUUUGGAAGAAACACUAUGGUGUGAUUUCUGAUAUUCGAAACCUUACCAAAUUUAAUUGGGACGAAGAAAAGAAGAUGUCAGAUCUUGUAGAAUGGAAAGCUUAAUGUGAGACAGGGAUGUUCAAUUUGGAUGAUUGUAUUGGUGGUUUGGUUCAAAAGAAGAAGAAUCAUCAAGCAGCCAUGUAGUCAUACAGAAAGAACAGAGUCUGUAACAACUGAAUGCCAGAUUCUAUAGUUAUCAUCUUUAAGCAACAAUGAGAAUAAAAAGAUAGAUGACCGAGGAAAGCCCUCUCAAGUAGCACAAGGCCUUAGCAAAGUGAAACUAAUACACGUGCAUUGUCAAGUUUUAUUUAAACA